UUAUCCAGUGGGAGUGAUGGGACUGCCGAGUUAAAUAUGGCUGGUCUAUUUUCAGUGAGGAUGAGAUGGCGGUUUCAUACAUCUGUUUUGCAUCAUGUCUUCAGUGGAUGUUGUAUUAGGUAAAUGACUGAUGUAUGUUGGUGAAGAAGCAUGAAUAUGUGGUGGGAAAUGAAUGACUUUCUUUCUUACCUGCCUCACUACAGAUAUUUUACAUCCUUCAUCUGUCAAUGCAGACGCACCGUAAAAUUAAUGCUGAUUCAUGUCAUCGCUGUUACCUCAUAUUGAUGAUAUAUAGAAGUUUGACUUAAAAAAUACACCAUAUAAUUUGGACCGGGGAGAGUAGUUAUUUUAUAUACACAAUGUUCUAUAUAUGGAUAUCGGUAGUUCUAUAAUCAUUAAAAAAUGCCUAAUCAUGAAAUAUUUUCAUGCGAAACUAAUUAUGUUAUUUUUUUUAUCUUAACAGUCAGUUUAUAUGUCGAUAGUCAAAGUUAGAGAAGUAUGAUUGUACGUUUUUAGAACAUUAUUUGAUAGAUAUGUAAAAUUUACCACAUGUCUUUACCUUGACCAUUGCAAGUAAUGAACACCAAAAUUUUCCCUAGCUGGACAACUCACUCCUUAGCAGCGGCGUAGAGGAAAAGUAAAUCACAUAUUAUAGAGCAUAGAAAGUAGAAAAAGAAAUCAGGUUAUUGUCCGUGUAAGAAUAAUUACAACUUUUUACCGUAAUUACAGCAAAAUCAGCAAAAUCAGGUUGUCUGCGGUGGAUGCAUCCGCCUGCAAUACUACAUUUCUAUCUCUCCCCAAACCACUUCCCAAAACUUAACUCCUUCAAUCAUAAAUUUUUAGCACAGUUAAAAACCACUCCCCAAACCUUAAUUUUGCACAACUGUCAGCAUUCAAACAUGAUAUGAACUUAACAAAUUGAUUAAAUAUCACAAUAGUGCACAAUUAAACAUCACAUAAUUGAACUAAACAUGGUGGAACUAACAUAAGCUACAACUUGAUUAACUUAAAUUACAUCUUAGCUAGCCUAAUUUAAGCUAAUUGUCAGAGGGGGAGAUGGCAAUGGGCUCCUUCCCCUUGUCGGAGCCUGAUGCCCGACGUCAUGCGUGCCCUUUGGUGUGGCCUCAUCGGCGAAGGGGUUUGAGCCACCGGCAUAUUGAGAUGUCUUGAACUCUGCUCAGUCCCGUUACUUGGCCGCACAUGUGGCUAGGAUGGUGAUGAUAGUCGCAUGGCUUUGGAAGAGGCCUCCGAUCGCGAGGUGCUCCUCGAGGACCUCGGAGUCAGUCCACAUGGCGGGGGGCCAUAACCUCAUCUCCUCAUGAGGCCAUUUACGCCUCGUCGACUAUGUGCUCGUCGAGCACCUCCUCCUCCGCGUGGAGUUCCCGCUCGUCCUCUUCCCAUGGUUCGAGAUCCAUGGAGUAGGGCGUUGUCAAGGUCAAAGGAGUGCGUCAGCGACGGGAGAACCGCAAUUGCUGCACAGAGGACGAUGAGGAUGCGGGAUACAACCCCACACACCACCAUGGAAUCGUCGCCGGCACAGUGACCUUGCAGUGACCAUCACACGAAAUGGUAAGAAAUAUAAAAUACGAGCCUGUUUUAUAGCAUGAGUAAUUAAUCGUUAUUGUUGCAUAGAACUAGGUAAUUUUGCAUAUGCAUUGCACCGAGAGCAUAAUUUGUUCUCCCUCCAUUCCACAACGUAGUGUGCCCGCAGUUCUCGAGAUCCAAGUUUGACCGUAAAUUUAACCAACAAGACCGACUGCGGCUGGAGCAAUACCACUGUUUUAUGGAGUACUAAGGAGCGAGUUGUCCGGCUAGGAAAAAUUUGCAUAGUCUUUGUCUGUGUGUUUCAUCUGUGUUUUUUCUUUUAGUAUGUACUGCACACGACUGUGAUAUACUCCCUCCGUUCCAAAAAAGAUGACCCAACUUUGUAUUAAAGUUAGUAUAAAGUUGAGUCAUCUAUUUUGAAACGGAGGGAGUAUAUGCUGUCCCUAAUUUCCAGUCCGGGUUACGUGGAGCCCCAAUCAACCACAACCACCACAAAUGUAAGAAAAAAGCUCAGAAGCGUCCAGGCUCCACAUCAACAAUAACCAACAUGCUUCCAUUUUCAGCAUCUCAAAAUAAGCGCACGGGGGUGUUUCCUGACCACAGCCCCUGAACUUGACUUGCAUCAGCCGUUCGCCGGUGAAUGGUGACCUAACACCUGCCGUACCACACCACGACGACCAUGCGCCAGCGACCUGACAUGGCGGUACGGCGACGGACGCUCCUACGCGAACGCGUGCGGGCGCAAUCCGUCAACUCUGACUGAUGUAUGGCGUCUUCAGGAGAUCAGCCGGAUCGACCUAGAUAGUUGCAGCUGAGCUGCCGAACCGACCAAUCGCCGAAUCAUCCCCAAAACAGUUGCGUACAGGCUCGCUGUGUAGCCAUAUCUGUUCAGGUUAGAGAUUGAAAUGUAUCUUCCCGACGUUGCACUUUUUCCUCUAGGGUUUCCUAGAGUCCACUUUUUCCUCCGGCGGCGCCGCCGGAGUCCAUCCACCAAAUUCCAGUGUCAACCUGUGCGAUCUAUUCCGACGAAUCGCGAGGGCUAACCCUGGUGAACUGCGAGACGGUGUUGCAUGGCGGAUCUGGUCGCCCAGGGGGGCGCGGGCGGAAAGAAGGGAGUCCAAGGAGGCUUAGGGUUUGGCGCUGAUAAGGACGUUGCGGGAGAUAGGAGAAGGGAGAUUGGGGCAACCUCUGGUACGACCGAGGAUGUAACCAAAGAGAGGGAGGAGGCCGAGAGGGGGGAUACAGAUCGGGAAGAAGCGAUUGAUCGGGAGGAGAUUGAUCAUGGAUGAGAUCAGAUUGGGCCAGAACCUGAGCUGGAAGGCACCUUUGAAGGCUUGAAGCUCCAUGGGGAGGAAGAGGAGGACCUGGAUCUGUCGGGGGAGGUAGAGGAGCUGAUCAAGGAUGUUCGCUGGUUGUGUUUGUUCCAGGUACACACCAUGAGGCCAUUUAGCCACGCGGCGCUGCUGAACUCAAUGAGGAACGCUUGGGCUUGCGCCCAGGGAGUAACUUUCAACAUCAAAGGGCCAAAUCUGUUCUUGGCUCAGUGUCAUUGCUUGGGGGAUUGGAAGCAUGUCAUGGAGGGAGGCCCCUGGCAAUUCAGACGAGAUCCGGUGGUUAUUGUGGAGUAUGAUGGUUUCACAAACGUCUCUGAGUAUGCUCUGGAUAUGUAUCCCCUAUGGGUAAGGAUCAAGGAUUUACCGGAUGGGCUCACAAGGAAAAGGGAGCUAGCGGAGAAAAUUGCAAAGAAGGUGGGAGAGCCGCCGUUCACGGUGGUUGUGAAUGAAGGAAGAAUUAACCCCUCUAGUCACUUAAGAGUAAGGGUGUUUAUGAAUGUCCAGAAGCCAUUGGUGCGAUUUGUCAGUAUUACUCUCAAGGAGACGAAAAGGUAUCCUGUUACAUAUGAGAAGCUGCCGGAUUUUUGCUUUUUCUGUGGCUGUAUGGGGCAUGUGGUGGAAGAGUGCGGAGACGGGAUUCACGAUCCUUCCGAGUGUGAUUGGGGAGACUGGUUGCAUUGGAGUAGUGAGACGGCUAUGGCAGGAGGUGGUGUAGGGCGUGGUAGAGGAGGAGCGUCUGAAAGUUUUGGCGGGGGAAGAGGGAGACGGGCUGGUAGAGGAGGAGGUAGAGGAGUAGGAAAUUCAGGGGGAAGGGGGGAUGCAGAAAGCAAACCAGCUGGGGGAGUAGAUGCUGUUGGACAGAAUUCGAGUGGCGGGGUGCUUGCGGUUCCAAGAGCCCAUAAUCUUGGUGAGGACGAUCCCAUGACUGCUCGCAAAAGGCUUAUGGGGGCAGAUGGAGUCGUGAUGGUUCGUGGUCAACCAGUGCCGAACCUUGCUGGCAAAGUACCAAACACGGUUCUCAUGUUGGAGAGCGGUAGUGGGUCUGGGGCAAAUGUGGUGCCGGCCCCAUCGUCUACACCUGGCAAGUUACCAGUUGUGAAAAGAAGGAAGCAAGGUGAGGAGAGGGAGGAUGUUGAUAUGACAAAAGAGGCGGCCUCCUUCGAGGAGGACCGCUGGGCCCAAUGAAUAUCCUUAGUUGGAACUGCCGGGGAGGGGGGAAUCCCGGACAGUUCGUGAGCUGGCGACUAUCUGUCAGUCGCAUUCCCCUAGAAUGGUGUUUUUGUGUGAAACAAGACAGAGAGCUGAUAAAAUGAAGAAGGUGCGAGGGAGGAUUGGAUUGAAGGGUUAUGCAGGAGUUGAUAGUAAUGGUAUGAGUGGUGGUCUUGCGUUGUAUUGGCAUGAGAGUUACGAAGUGGAAAUUGUGGACAACACUACAAGAAAUAUGUUAAUACGUGACAGUACUAAUCCAUCAUGAAUGAGUGAAAAACUGUCAUGGGUGCCCGUCCAUGACGGAUUUGAAGUCCAUCAUGUAUAUCACGUCAUAAUUUGACACGGUUCUUGUCCGUCAUGGAUCCACCCCAGGCCCGCCCAAGCCCAAUCCAUUAUGACAAAACAAGCCGUCAUGGACUAACGCCAUGUAGGAUUUUUUAUCGACCAUUUCAAAUGACGUGGCUGCCCACGUGGAUACUAUUUUCCGUCACCAAAUUCGUCAUGGUUGAGCACAUUAUUCCACUUCUUUCAGCCCAAUUUUUACCCGAUACAUUUUUAGCAUAAUGAUAACAACAUUAAACCAUUCAACCAACUUUUGGAAACUGGUUAACAUUACACAGUACAACAUAGCAGUUUAUAAAAUCCUCUAAAAAUGAUAAAUUACAAUAUGAAUUGAUAAAAUAUAUCACAUCACGGUUAGGAAUGAGUACAAUGCAUUUUACAUCAACAGAACAUACAAACUAUCAAGGCUGUUACUUAGGUUCUUGUUGUCAGCCCUCCUGAUGGCAACCAUCAUGUCUUGGCUGAUUGUGAUGAGAAGCACCAAGUAGCCCACUUCCUAAUCUUAUCUGCAUAUUUACAAGAACCUUAGAUAUUUGUAGAUAUGAAUAGAUAGUAGAAAUAAUAUAAUUACAACAAAUAUAAAAAUGAAUUAAAUGUUGUCCAAAAUUCUUAAAUCUUAUAGUGCCUACGAAUGAGAAUAACAUUGCAUCUACUAUAAAACAAGAGUAAACAUAAGGUUUCUUAAAAUUAAACCAAAGAAAAGUGUGUCAAAUGACAAAGUAACAAAACACACAUCACAGAAUUAAGUACUAUAUUAUUGAGGUUGCUAUUCAUGUUCUUGUGAACAAAUAAUCUAUGAUGCAACCGUAAUCUAUAUUUACAUGGUUACAGCAAAUAGACUAGCAGCAAUUUGUGAGCACAGGUCUCGGUUACAUGUGCAACUCUGGCAUAAACAUGCAUAAACAUACAGCUUGACAUUUUUUUCUUUCUUAAUAUACAAGGCGAAGCUUUUGCCUCUUUCGGAAAUAAUGUGAAUCACACGUCUGGAGUAACAACAUCCUAAUUGGUCUCAUAUUCAGCUAAACAGAACAGGUGGACACGAGUAGAUAAAACUAGCUAAAAAAUAUUAGCAGAGAUACUCUAAGCAGAGCCAUAAGUAUACCAAGAGAUGAUAUAUGCUUAAGCUAGAUAUAUCCUUUAUACUUAUGAAAUCUGUAACUCAUACAAGUAUAUAGCAUGCUCAGAACAAUGUAUUCUGUUCUUGAGCUUCCAGCGUUAAAACAUGCAGAUAUUUCAAACUAAAAUAUUAGCUAUACUGUGUUGAAAUUGCUGUUUCAUAUUGCUGCUAAAGAACAAGUCAGGCAAUGACAAAAGAGUUUGGAAUAUGUAUUUACCUCCUGUAUUCACCAUGGAUCGUCGUUGCGGGGAAACCCGCUGUUGUAUAGCCAAUAUCUCAAUGAAUCGGCUUCUUGUUUUGUCUCCACGAAAACCAAUGUUAAGAGGCUGUUCAGGCUAGACAAACCAGAAAACUAGCAUCAGAAAAAUCUUAUAGAAUAAUUGUAAAUAAACCCAAUUGCUACAAUCCAAGAUGGCAGCAAAUAAUACCUUGUUGGUGAGUACGACAAGGUGCGAUGAACAAAAUAUGUAACAAUUGCUGCAACAAAUGAUGGUAGUAAGUACAUUUCACGGAUCUGACACUAAACUUGUAUGUAAUUAGUGCGAGAGCGAGAGUAGGCGAGGACUGAUCAACCAAAUAAUGAUAACUCAUAGAAAGUUUGCACAAAAUAUAUAACAGAUAAGCAGUGUAAUAGCAGCUUCAUCCAACUAGAAGUGUAGUAGCAACAACAACUACUACAGCAAUAGGAAUCUCCAUCCAAUUAAAAGAGCAACAGCAACAGGGGAACAUCAGCAUAGCUGCAGAAGGCGUACAUGUCACCUCUCCGCUUCAAGCAGAAGCGUUGGCUCUUCUAGCAGCUACAGAGUGCUGCUGCAAUCACCACAGGCGAGAUUACCUUCAUUACAGAUGAUCACGUUGUAGCAAAGGUUGCUGCUGCCUACAGGGAUUGGCCAAAUAAACCUGGACCAUAGGAGAUAAGAAACUAUUUAGCUGCCAUCUUCUCAAUCAUUAGCCAUUCUCAGGUUAAGGUCACUCAUAUCCCUAGGAAUUUCAAUAGCAGGGCACAUAGGUCUUAACAAUCUCACUCUUGGUCAAUCAAUUGAGUGAGCUUAAUAAAUUAUUUUAUUCCAACAAAUCCAAGGAACCAACAGGAGCAUCUCAUGGGCAUUUAAUUAUCAGUUUUGCUAGAACUCAUCUAGAUGAGAUAUAAUUUGGUCUCAUUCACCUUUUAUAGCCAUUGGAUGUGAUGCUAUAAGAUGCGUGUGUGCUGAUGUGGGUUGUAUUUGUUCUUGUUUUCAAAGUGAAUGAGACCAAAUUAUAUCUCAUCUAGAUGAGUUCUAGGUACUCCCUUUAAUUAUUAAAAUUAGCAGUUGCUUAACUAACUAGCAGAUUUCACAAAUUCUACACUGCUAGUGCUAGCACGGUGAGAGAAGAAAAUGGAAAUAGGCAGCAGAAUUAGUCAAUCGUUGGCUGUAACUUACGAGUAUCAGCAAAACAAAGUGGCGACAUUUUCUGCAGCAGGUUCAGUCCAAUAAAAUUGGAUAGCCCAAGGAGAACUACGCUAGAGCAGGGCAGCAAUCACUUGGAAAGAAAAUAAAAACAGGGCCAGAGGAUCGACCUUCAUGUUCUCCGGGGAAUCAUGGUGGUCGGGGAGGAGGACCUCGCCAUCGAGUUGUCCCGGUCGUCGGGCUCGAGCGUGGGUCCCGGUCGUCGCCGUCCAUCGAACUAGAGAGGCAGAGAGUUCCUCCUGAACUGAAUCGAAGCAAAAAAAAAAACUUCGAUUGGGGAUGGGUAGUAAUGAAGGAGAUAGGAGAAGAUGGAGGAAGCAGGGAGGGACCAUGUGCGAGGCGUCGCCGUCGCCGGCGAGGUCGAGGUCGACCCUCCCACAGGUCACGGUGGUCGUCCUCUCCUCGUCCAGCGAUUGCUGCUCCAAAUCUCCGGAUGGCAAGGCAGCUGCGCGGCUUGCGAGAUGAAGGAGGAAGGCAUCUGCCGCAGAUCCAUGGCCCAGGUCGUUGGAUGCGAGAAGCAGAGGCGCGCCACCGCGGCUAGGGUUGUCCGCCGCUUCCAUCGGGCCGCUGCAACUGUUGUCGCUAUGGAUCUCAUGCCGUCAUCAUCGCUUGGAGGCGAAGGACGGGGUCGAGGAGAGAUGAGGCGUGGUGGCGGCGGAUGAAGAAACAGGUCGGAACAAGAGUAUCUUAGGGUUAGCUUUUAUACGGGGAAAGAUUUAGGGCUUUUGGCGGGCUUCGGUGGGCUUGCGGGUCUCUCCUAUGCAGUUCAUCACGAAUUUUGAAAUUGUCGCCGGAAAUCCGUCAUGUAUUAACAGGUUUCUUGUAGUGCAAAGAUGAACAUUUUAUUGAUGCACUAGUUCGUGUCCAGGAAGGGGCAACCCAAUGGAGGAUUACAUGUGUAUAUGGUGAACCACAAGUUGAAAACAGGCAUCUUAUGUGGGCUAAACUCGAGCAUCUAAAAGUUGCGAAUGAUCUACCGUGGCUUGUUGUGGGUGAUUUCAAUGAAGCCAUGUGGGGCUUUGAGCAUCUUUCAGUAACACCACGGGGAGAGCCACAAAUGGUCGCCUUCCGUGAUACUUUGGAGAUCUGUGGCUUGGUUGACCUAGGCUUUGUUGGGGUUCCCUUUACAUAUGAUAAUAAGAGGGGUGGAGGUGGCAAUGUGAAGGUGAGACUGGAUAGGGCAGUGGCGACUAACGCAUGGAGAAAUUUGUUUGCUUAUGCUUCGGUUUUACAUGUGCCCUCGCCUUGCUCGGAUCAUGUGGCACUUGUUCUUAAGGGGUCGGUCGAUUGGGGGCCGAAUGGAGGGAAGCAUAGGAGAUAUGAGCUGUUCUGGGAGAGAGACGGAUCUUUACUGGAGGUGAUCAAGGAGGCUUGGGAAGCAGCGGGAGGCGUGUACAAUAUGGCACAGCUGAGAGACGCACUUACGAAAACAAUGACAGCCCUUCGACUUUGGAGCAAAAAAUUUGGUAAUGUUACUCGAGAGCUCGCCAAAUCGCGGACCCAGUUAGAGGAGUUGAUGAACAUGAAUGCUGAUCGCCAGGAUAUUGUACAGGUGACGGAUAAGAUGAAUGAGCUUCUGUAUCAAGAGGAGAUGCUUUGGUUGCAACGAUCGCGUAUCACGUGGUUGAAGGAAGGGGAUAGAAACACUAAAUAUUUUCACAAUAAGGCAGUUUGGAGGGCGAGGAAGAACAAGAUCCGUGAACUAACGGACAGCGUUGGCAAGGUUGUCAGAAUCGCGAUUCUGUUAUACGAUUCUACGACUUUAUGAUCCAAACUAGCCCCUAUGAUUCUACGACUUUAGUUCUUAGAAUCUACGUUUCUACGAUCCUAACAGUGAAGAUUCUACGAUUUGCGAUCCUACUAUCGAAGCUCCGAUCCGAUUCAAAAUCGCGAUUCUGACAACCUUGAGCGUCGGUGUAAUUCAUUCCGACCUUGUUGGCAUGUGGGAAUUAGCCAAUAUGUAUUUCCAUGAUAUUUUUACAGCUGACCCGACGCUUAAUGCUGCGCCUAUUUUGGACUUAAUUAACCAGGUGGUAACAGAAGAGGACAAUGCCAAGUUGUGUGUGCCGUUUACAGAGAAAGAGAUUCCGGAUGCUUUGUUUCAGAUCGGGCCACUAAAAUCUCCGGGUCCGGAUGGCUUUCCGGCGAGAUUCUUUCAGCGGAAUUGAAGUACUCUCAAGGAGGGUGUGCUGGCAGCGGUGAGGGAUUUUUUCAGUACUGGAAUCAUGUUGGAGGGGGUGAAUUCAACCUCGAUAGUUCUUAUUCCCAAGAUCCCUAACCCGGUGAGAAUCACAGACUACAGGCCUAUUAGUCUGUGUAACGUUAUUUAUAAGGUGAUUUCCAAGUGCCUCGUGAAUAGGAUGAGGCCUUUGUUGGAUGAUCUCAUAUCUCCCGAACAGAGUGCAUUCAUUCCUGGUAGGAUGAUCACUGACAACGCGCUUGUGGCGUUUGAAUGUAUCCAUCACAUGAAGCAGGAAAAGGAUCCACAAGAAGUUUUUGUGCGUACAAAUUGGACUUGUCAAAAGCUUAUGAUAGAGUUGAUUGGGUCUUCUUGAGGCAAAUGAUGCAAAAGUUGGGUUUCUCUCAGCGAUGGGUUGACUGGAUAAUGUCUUGUGUCACGUCGGUGAGAUACUCUGUCAAACUAAAUGGAACCCUCUUGGAUUCGUUUGCACCGACGCGUGGGCUUCGGCAAGGAGAUCCGUUAUCCCCGUUCCUUUUCUUGCUUGUGGCUGAUGGGCUAUCUGCUUUAUUGAGAAACAAAGUAGAAGUGGGCGAAAUCACUCUGGUUAAAGUGUCAAGACGAGGACCAGGUGUGUCGCAUUUAUUGUUUGCUGACGAUACGUUGUUGUUCUUUGAGGCAUCAGGAGAACAAGCGAGAGAGAUUAAAGUUGUGCUGGACAUAUAUGGGAGGGCGACAGGCCAAAGUUUAAACCCCGAGAAGUGUUCCAUUCUUCUUGGGGAUGCUUGCCCCGUUGCGAGGCAGGAGGAAGUACAGGCAGUGCUUCAGAUCACUAACUUGCACUUUGAGGAAAAGUACCUUGGCCUGCCGACUCCGGAGGGUCGGAUGUCUAAAGGCCGUUUUCAGAAUUUGCAGACUCGGUUAACCAAGCGAUUGCUACAAUGGGGAGAUGGCCUUUUGGCGCAACCGGGAAGAGAAGUGUUGAUUAAGUCAGUUGCUCAGGCCCUCCCUACAUACAUUAUGGGCGUCUUCAAGCUACCCUUUUCGGUUUGUGAUGAUCUUACGCGCAUGGUGCGGAAUUUUUAUUGGGGGUCGGCAAGGGGCAAGAGGAAAGUUCAUUGGAAGAAUUGGGACCAUNNNNNNNNNNNNNNNNNNNNNNNNNNNNNNNNNNNNNNNNNNNNNNNNNNNNNNNNNNNNNNNNNNNNNNNNNNNNNNNNNNNNNNNNNNNNNNNNNNNNNNNNNNNNNNNNNNNNNNNNNNNNNNNNNNNNNNNNNNNNNNNNNNNNNNNNNNNNNNNNNNNNNNNNNNNNNNNNNNNNNNNNNNNNNNNNNNNNNNNNNNNNNNNNNNNNNNNNNNNNNNNNNNNNNCAGGCCCUACUGGCUAGGCAGGCGUGGAGGUUAAUUACCAAACCGGACAGCCUUUGUGCUAGGGUUCUAAAAGCUCGAUAUUACCCGGAGGGUAAGCUGGAAGAUACAAUUUUUUCAGGAAACGGUUCAUCUUCAUGGCAAGCUAUAUGUCAUGGACUGGAUUUAUUGAAGAAAGGGCUGCUGUGGAGAGUUGGUGACGGAGCAAGCAUUCGGGUUUGGUGAGAUAAUUGGAUUCCGAGACCCUUCUCUUACAAACCAAUCUCUCCGCAAGGGCGUUGCCGCAUCCGUUUUGUCUCUGGUUUUUUGAAUGCUAAUGGAUCUUGGAAUGUUGAGCUCCUUCGGGACUUUUUUGUGACUGCCGAUGUGAUUGAAAUUUUAAAGAUUCGCGCCUCGCCAAGGAUGGCGGGAGAUGUUAUUGCAUGGGGUCCGGGUCGGCAUGGAAGUUUUUUGGUCAAAUCAGCAUAUGAGUUGGCUUUUAACGAGGACCAUCGAGGUACCAUGUCUUCGUCUAGUGCUUCGCCUUCGGGACGUCGUGCUUGUUGGGAUUUUAUCUGGAAGUGUGAUGCUCCUCCAUCGGUUAAGCACUUCGCUUGGCGUUUGGCAAUUGAUGCACUCCCUACUUGGCAGAAGAAACAUCGUAUUGGGUUGGAAACUACGAGUAUAUGCCCGGUGUGUGGAACAGAAGAGGAGGAUAAUUUUCAUCCGUUCGUUCGCUGCCAGUUGGGACGAGAUCUGUUUGUGGCUAUGUCCAAGGUAUGGAGGCUGCCUGACAUUACAUCUAUAUUGAACAAUGGUAAGGAAUGGUUGUUACAUGUCCUGAGUCCUCUUACCGAACUCGAACGCACAAUGGUAUUAAUGAUCUUUUGGAGAAGUUGGUUUGUUCGGAAUGAGCUCACCCAUGCGAAGCCUGCACCGCCGAUGGAAGCUUCGGUGCGUUUUCUGCAAAGCUAUUUGGAAUCUUUAAUUGGUUUGAAGCAGAACCCAAGAGCUGAUCCAGCCAAAGGGAAGUCAUAUGUUGAGUGGCUACUACCAAAGAAGAGGGAAAGUGCUGCUGCAGUUCAGGAACGAAGAUGGACCAAACCAGACCUAGGGUGGUGCAAGUUAAACACUGAUGGCUCUUUUGUAGCAUCCGGUGAAGCUGGGGCGGGGAUGAUCCUGCGUGACCAUUUGGGUGGCAUCAAUUUCUCGGCUUGCAGGGUUUUGUAUUCCUGCAGGGAUCCCCUAGAGGCGGAGCUGUGCGCGUGUAUGGAAGGCUUGUCCCUGGCAAUACAGAGAUGUGAUGUGCCGAUAGCAUUGGAGCUGGAUUCUCUCGAAGCAGUCACUCUCAUUACGAGUCCGGGGACCGAUCGUUCGGUUUACUCUUCAAUUGUGAGAGAGAUCAAGCACCUUUUGGGUUUAAGGAAAACUUGUAUUUCCCAUAUAUUUAGAUCCCAAAAUAAAGCUAGUGAUAGCUUAGCUAGUUUUGCUAGAACCCAAGGUAGGACCAUGACUUGGUUAGGGGCUGGUCCAGUUGAAGUUGUGGAAAUAGCAUCCAAUGAUUGUAAGGACUUUGUGAUUGAUUAAUACAUUGCUAUUUCACCCGCAAAAAAAGAGAGAUUGAAAUGUAUCACCGACCAUAUCUGGUACACUCACGUCUCUUCCAAACCAAGUUAACCACACAUAACUAGACACAAAACAGAAGUAAGUAAACAACCGCCGGUUCGUCAAAAAGUAAACGAACAACCGAAAUGCAGGUGAUCUGCCUGCUAGGGGCAUCUCCAGCCGUUGGCCUCCCAGGAGGGGCAAAAAAACGCCCCCUGGGGGCGCACCGGCGCUAAACCGCGCACUAGGGGCGUGAUGUCCCCCAGUCGUGGUGCCCACGGUUAGUCAAAAAAGUUAAACACGGCGCAAAAACGAUUCAAAUUUAAUGCAAACAUCGGCGAGUUCAUUCAAACUUAAACAUAUUUUACAAAAAAGAAAAAAAAC
rnacentral:lncRNA from 1 species